rnacentral:rRNA from 1 species
AACGAACGCUGGCGGCAGGCCUAACACAUGCAAGUCGAACGCCCCGCAAGGGGAGUGGCAGACGGGUGAGUAACGCGUGGGAACCUACCUAGUGGUACGGAACAACUCGGGGAAACUUGAGCUAAUACCGUAUACGCCCUCCGGGGGAAAGAUUUAUCGCCAUUAGAUGGGCCCGCGUCGGAUUAGCUAGUUGGUGAGGUAAUGGCUCACCAAGGCUUCGAUCCGUAGCUGGUCUGAGAGGAUGAUCAGCCACACUGGGACUGAGACACGGCCCAGACUCCUACGGGAGGCAGCAGUGAGGAAUAUUGGACAAUGGGCGCAAGCCUGAUCCAGCCAUGCCGCGUGAGUGAAGAAGGCCUUAGGGUUGUAAAGCUCUUUCGACGGGGAAGAUAAUGACGGUACCCGUAGAAGAAGCCCCGGCUAACUUCGUGCCAGCCGCCGCAGUAAAAC